AUUGAACGCUGGCGGCAUGCCUUACACAUGCAAGUCGAACGGCAGCGGGGGAGAAGCUUGCUUUUCCUGCCGGCGAGUGGCGAACGGGUGAGUAAUACAUCGGAACGUGCCCUGUAGUGGGGGAUAACUAGUCGAAAGAUUAGCUAAUACCGCAUACGACCUGAGGGUGAAAGUGGGGGACCGCAAGGCCUCAUGCUAUAGGAGCGGCCGAUGUCUGAUUAGCUAGUUGGUGGGGUGAAGGCCUACCAAGGCGACGAUCAGUAGCUGGUCUGAGAGGACGAUCAGCCACACUGGGACUGAGACACGGCCCAGACUCCUAUGGGAGGCAGCAGUGGGGAAUUUUGGACAAUGGGCGAAAGCCUGAUCCAGCAAUGCCGCGUGUGUGAAGAAGGCCUUCGGGUUGUAAAGCACUUUUGUCCGGAAAGAAAUGGCUCUGGUUAAUACCUGGGGUCGAUGACGGUACCGGAAGAAUAAGGACCGGCUAACUACGUGCCAGCCGCCGCGGUAA
rnacentral:rRNA from 1 species